AAACGGGGAGCAAUAAGCUGAGAAUGAGUGCACCGCAUUCUAAACCCGCUGAACCUGAUACGGAUAAUGCCGGCGCAGGGAGAAUAAAAGCUU
rnacentral:ncRNA from 1 species